ACUGCCACUAAAACUUUUUACCUAGAGUAUGAUAGAGGUAAAGCGGGAAUUUCUAGUGUAGAGGUGAAAUUUCGUAGAUAUUAGAAAGAACACCAAUUGCGAAGGCAGCCUUUCUGGAUCAUUACUGACACUGAGGUGCGAAAGCAUGGGUAGCGAAGAGGAUUAGAUACCCUCGUAGUCCAUGCUGUAAACGAUGUGUGCUAGACGUUGGAAACUUAGUUUUUCAGUGUCGCAGCAAAAGCGUUAAGCACACCGCCUGGGGAGUACGACCGCAAGGUUAAAACUCAAAUGAAUUGACGGGGACCCGCACAAGUAGUGGAGCAUGUGGUUUAAUUCGAAGAUACGCGCAGAACCUUACCAACACUUGACAUGUUCGUCGCGACUCUAAGAGAUUAGAGUCUUCGGUUCGGCCGGACGAAACACAGGUGCUGCAUGGCUGUCGUCAGCUCGUGUCGUGAGAUGUAGGGUUAAGUCCCGCAACGAGCGCAACCCUUACUUUUAGUUGCUACCAUUUAGUUGGGCACUCUAAAAGAACUGCCAGUGAUAAGCUGGAGGAAGGUGGGGAUGACGUCAAGUCCUCAUGGCCCUUACGUGUUGGGCUACACACGUGCUACAAUGGUACUUACAGUGAGAAGCGAAGAGGCGACUCUAAGCAAAUCCCAAAAAGGUACCUCAGUUCGGAUUGUACUCUGCAACUCGAGUACAUGAAGCUGGAAUUACUAGUAAUCGCGGAUCAGCGCGCCGCGGUGAAUACGUUCCCGGGUCUUGUACACACCGCCCGUCACACCAUGGAAGUUGGUUACACCUUAAGGCAAAGCGUAAAACCUUUGACUACGGUACGAUCAGCGACUGGGGUGAAGUCGUAACAAGGUAACCGUA
rnacentral:rRNA from 1 species